AACUAGAGAAAGCCCGCACUCAGUAAAAAAGACCCAAGGCAGCCAAAAAUAAAUUUUUUAAAAAAUGCUCAAUUAAAAAAAAAAAAAAGAGUAGAAACUUAUGGAGGUCAGGUCCAUCUCACAGUAGGUCCAGUGGGUCCCUGAACCCAUCUUGUGGUUAUGUCCCCAGUUCCAGGAUGUAUAGUUGAAAUAGACACACAGGCACAUCUUGUUUUCCUGUGCUUCACUUUAUUGUACUUCGCAGAUAACUGUGUUUUUUUUGCAGACUGAAGGUUUGUGGCAACCCUGCGCUGAGCAAGUCUAUCAGGACCAUUCUUCCAGCAGCAUUUGCUCACUUCGUGUCUCUGUGUCAGAUUUUGGUGAAUCUCUCAAUAUUUCAAAUCCUCCACCAGCAAAAAGAUGAUGACUCGCUGAAGGCUCAGAUGAUGAUUAGCAUUCUUUAGCAAUACAGUAUUUUUAAAUUAAGUGGACUGCGACCAAACCCGCAGUAUCUCCGGGGUGUGCCUGUACUUAGCAACGGGCAGAAUCCCCACAUUGGUUCCCUCACGUGUGGAGUGAGGCCUAUUAUGGUAGGAAAACCAAGUGGAAGUCACGAGGGCUGCCUCUACUAGGAAAAUGGUAAAUGAAAAGCAAUACCGCAUCCCUGGAGGGACUGCAGAGAUCAGCGCCACCAUCAAGGACUUGAGAGAUGCAGGGGUGGCGACUCCCACAUCUCCAUUCAACCCCCGUUCUGUCUGGGCAGAAGACAGACGGAUCGUGGAAGAUGACAGUGGAUGAUCAUAAACUGAUGAUUGGAGGUGGUGGCUCUUCCAGAUGUGGUUUCAUUACUUGAGCAAAUUAACACAUCCCCUGGUUCCUGGUUUGCAGCUAUUGAUUUGGCAAAUACAUUUCCCUCCAUCCCUGUCCAUAAGGACCAGAAGCAGUUUGCUUUCAGCUGGCCAGACCAGCAGUACACCUUCACUGUCCUGCCUCGGGUAGAUCAGCUCUCCAGCUUGAUGUCAUUAUAAUUUGGUCUGCAGGUAUCUUGAUCACCUUUCCCUUCCACAAAAUAUCCCACAGGUUUAACAUUGAUGAUAUAUGCAGAUUCCAUCUAGAGAACAAGAAGUAACUAUAGAUAUACUGGUAAGACAUUUGCAUUGUCGAUGGUCGGAAAUAAAUUUCACCAAAAGUCAGGGGCCUUCCAUCUCAGUGAAAUUUCUAGCGAUGCACUGGUUGGGUGCGUGUCAAGAUAUCUGUUUUUUCAGUGAAGGAUAAGUUAUUGCAUCUGGCCCCUCCUGCAGCCAAAAAACCAGGCACAACACCUAGUUGGCCUCUCUGGAUAUUGGACCUCUCUGGGUGUGUCACUCUGACCCAUUUACCAAGUGACCUGAAAAGCUGCCUAUUUUGAGUGGGGCCCAGAACAAGAGAAAGAUUUGCACCAGGUCCAGGCUGCUGUGUGUGCUGCUCUGCCACUUGGGCCACAGGAUCCAGCAGCUCUCCUGGUGCUUGAAGAGGCGGGGGCAGGCAGGGAUGCUGUCUGGAGCUUGCGACAGGUCCCUACAGAUGAAUCACAGUGGAGGCCCUUAGGAUUUGGGGGCAAAGUCCUGCCAUCCUCUGCAGAUAAUCCCUUUCCUUUUGAGUAACUACUGAGCCAUUGGAUUUACAUCUGCAAAGACUCUAUUUCCAAAUAAGGUCAUCCCAGGGUUCUGCAUGGACGUGAACCUGGGGGGACGCAAUUCACCCCACAACAGGGAGAAGUGCUUUCCGGAGACACAACAUUGAUGUCAUUGAACUGGAAGUUCAGACAGCUACCAGCCACUUUGGGCUCCUUAAGCCUCCGAGUCAUCAGGCAGAGAAGGGAGUCAUCCUAUUGGCUGGGGUGACUGACCCUGACUACCAAGAGGAAAUCGGGCUGCUACUAUACAAUUAAGGAAGAAGAUGUGCGGAAUACAGGAGAUCCCUAAGGCUACCCUGCCUUAAAGUCGAUUGAAAAUGCAAUUAAGGCAGAACUACUAAUGGCCCUGACUCUUCAGGAAUGAAGGUUUGGGACACCCCAGCAACCAUGACCAGCUGAGGUGCUUCCUGAGGGUGUGGAAUGGGUAAUGGAAGAAAGUAGUUGUAAAGACCAGCUACAUCUAUGUGACCAGUUACAGAAAUGAGGCCUGUAAUUAUCAUGAAUCAUCUUGUAAUUUUCAUGUAAUUCAUCAUCUUGUGCUGUUUGUAUCUUCAUACACAAACUUGUAUAGAUAUAUAGUAAGUAUAAAGUGAA